rnacentral:RNase_P_RNA from 1 species
CAAGAUGAUCGCGGCUGUGCCUUGUGCACAGGUGAGGAAAGUCCGGGCUCCACAGGGCAGUGUGCUGGAUAACGUCCAGCGAGGGUGACCUCAGGGAAAGUGCCAUAGAGAUUUAGACCGCCAGGAUUUUCUGGUAAGGGUGGAAAGGUGCGGUAAGAGCGCACCAGCAGUCAGGUGACUGGCUGGCUUUGGUAAACCCCACACGGAGCAAGACUGAAUAGGGAAGGGUUGAUGCGGCCCGCGGACCUUCCGGGUUAAGUCGCUUGAGCGGGGGAGCAAUCCCUCUGCCUAGAUAAAUGAUCAUCACCGCCAUCUGGCGGUACAGAACUCGGCUUAUUGAUUG